UACAGAGGUCUCAAGCGUUGUUCGGAAUCAUUGGGCGUAAAGCGCGCGUAGGUGGCUUCGUAAGUCCGUUGUGAAAGUCAAAGGCUCAACCUUUGAAAGCCGAUGGAUACUGCGGAGCUAGAGUACGGAAGAGGCGAGUGGAAUUCCUGGUGUAGCGGUGGAAUGCGCAGAUAUCAGGAGGAACACCAAUAGCGAAGGCAGCUCGCUGGGACGUUACUGACACUAAGGCGCGAAAGCGUGGGGAGCGAACAGG
rnacentral:rRNA from 1 species